UUUAGUAUAUCUUAGCCAAAAAAUUAUCCUUGCAGUUUUCCUCUUCUACACAAAAUCCUAACCUCCAUAGUUCACAAUUCCCCUUUCUAAUCCUAAUCUUUGUGGAUUCUACUCCUAGCCCCAUAGUUCACAAUUCUUUGACGCCCAUCAAUAUAGCCUUCACUAUUAUUAAUCUUUUUCUAUUACUUGCCACUAUAAGAUAAGAAUGUAGAGCAUUUCUAUCCUUUGUUUGCUUUUGGUGAUAGUGGUUGGAAGAAGAUUCUAAAGUUGAAGGAGACGAUAGGAGAUUAUCUUGGUUUGAUGGACAAGGAGUUAGAGAGUUUUGUAGAUUAGGAACUCCAAUGGGAACUUGUUUUCCAUGUAAGAGUCCUUAAUCUUUUCAUAAUGAUGUAUAUAGUCUUAGAUGUUUAAUUUGCUGGAAAUAUAUGUGUGUGAACUUGUUUUUGUUUAACAAAAUGUGUGGUACUCGCUUAUGGUAUUACGUCGUCAUGAAAUGUUACUAAAUAUUUCUAUUUUUUGUAUGCAUUUGAGUAUUUGUGAUAAAAUUUGAUGAUUGUUUAUAAAGUAUUGUGACAAAGUUGUAAUUUGAAAAUAUCUCAAUUGUAAUGGUUAUAUUAUUGCUUA